GAACCUGGCGGCAUGCCUUACACAUGCAAGUCGAACGGCAGCACGGGGGCAACCCUGGUGGCGAGUGGCGAACGGGUGAGUAAUACAUCGAAACGUGUCCUGUAGUGGGGGAUAGCCCGGCGAAAGCCGGAUUAAUACCGCAUACGAUCUGUGGAUGAAAGCGGGGGAUCUUAGGACCUCGCGCUACAGGGGCGGCCGAUGGCAGAUUAGCUAGUUGGUGGGGUAAAGGCCUACCAAGGCGACGAUCUGUAGCUGGUCUGAGAGGACGACCAGCCACACUGGGACUGAGACACGGCCCAGACUCCUACGGGAGGCAGCAGUGGGGAAUUUUGGACNAUGGGCGCAAGCCUGAUCCAGCAAUGCCGCGUGUGUGAAGAAGGCCUUCGGGUUGUAAAGCACUUUUGUNCGGAAAGAAAACGUCGUGGUUUAAUACCGUGGCGGAUGACGGUACCGGAAGAAUAAGCACCGGCUAACUACGUGCCAGCAGCCGCGGUAAUACGUAGGGUGCAAGCGUUAAUCGGAAUUACUGGGCGUUAAGCGUGCGCANGCGGGUUCGCUUAGACAGAUGUGAAAUCCCGGGCUUAACUGGGAACUGCAUUUGUGACUGGCGGGCUAAAAUAUGGCAAAAGGGGGUAAAUUCC
rnacentral:rRNA from 1 species